rnacentral:rRNA from 1 species
GACGUAGGGCGCGAGCGUUGUCCGGAUUUAUUGGGCGUAAAGAGCUCGUAGGCGGCUUGUCGCGUCGUCCGUGAAAACCUGCAGCUCAACUGCAGGCUUGCGGUCGAUACGGGCAGGCUGGAGUUCGGUAGGGGAGACUGGAAUUCCUGGUGUAGCGGUGGAAUGCGCAGAUAUCAGGAGGAACACCGAUAGCGAAGGCAGCUCGCUGGGACGGUACUGACGCUGAGGUGCGAAAGCGUGGGGAGCGAACAGG